GCAUAUCAAUAAGCGGAGGAAAAGAAACCAACAGGGAUUGCCCCAGUAACGGCGAGUGAAGCGGCAACAGCUCAAAUUUGAAAUCUGGCCUUCGGGUCCGAGUUGUAAUUUGGAGAGGAUGCUUCUGGCGCGGCGCCGUCCGAGUUCCUUGGAACAGGACGCCAUAGAGGGUGAGAGCCCCGUACGGGCGGACGCCUAGCCUUUGUGAAGCUCCUUCGACGAGUCGAGUAGUUUGGGAAUGCUGCUCAAAAUGGGAGGUAAAUUUCUUCUAAAGCUAAAUACCGGCCAGAGACCGAUAGCGCACAAGUAGAGUGAUCGAAAGAUGAAAAGCACUUUGAAAAGAGGGUUAAAAAGUACGUGAAAUUGUUGAAAGGGAAGCGCCUGUGACCAGACUUGCUGCCCACGGAUCAUCCGGCGUUCCUCGCCGGUGCACUCCGCGGGCGGCAGGCCAGCAUCGGUUCUCCUAGGGGGUUAAAGGUCGCGGGAACGUGGCUCCUUCGGGAGUGUUAUAGCCCGCGGCGUCAUGCCUCUGGGGGGACCGAGGACCGCGCUUCGGCAAGGAUGCUGGCGUAAUGGUCACCGGCGACCCGUCUUGAAACACGGACCAAGGAGUCAAGCAUUGGGGCGAGUGUCUGGGUGCCAAACCCGCACGCGAAAUGAAAGUAAACGCAGGUGAGAGCUUCGGCGCAUCACCGACCGAUCCUGAUGUCUUCGGAUGGAUUUGAGUAAGAGCCUUACCGCUUGGACCCGAAAGAUGGUGAACUAUGCCUGUAUAGGGUGAAGCCAGAGGAAACUCUGGUGGAGGCUCGCAGCGGUUCUGACGUGCAAAUCGAUCGUCAAAUAUGGGCAUGGGGCGAAAGACUAAUCGAACCAUCUAGUAGCUGGUUACCGCCGA
rnacentral:rRNA from 1 species